rfam:Neocallimastix californiae strain G1 LY90scaffold_317, whole genome shotgun sequence.
GCUCGCGUAGCCUAAUCGGAUAGGUGAAGAUUGCGGGUUCAAGUCCCGCCGUGAGUG